rnacentral:rRNA from 1 species
UACGUAGGGUGCAAGCGUUAUCCGGAAUUAUUGGGCGUAAAGAGCUCGUAGGCGGUUUGUCGCGUCUGCUGUGAAAACUGGAGGCUCAACCUCCAGCCUGCAGUGGGUACGGGCAGACUAGAGCUGCGGUAGGGGAGAAUGGAACUCCUGGUGUAGCGGUGGAAUGCGCAGAUAUCAGGAAGAACACCGAUGGCGAAGGCAGUUCUCUGGGCCGUAACUGACGCUGGAGGAGCGAAAGCGUGGGGAGCAAACAGG